rnacentral:rRNA from 1 species
CCUACGGGAGGCUGCAGUGAGGAAUAUUGGUCAAUGGGAGAGAUCCUGAACCAGCCAAGCCGCGUGAGGGAAGACGGCCCUAUGGGUUGUAAACCUCUUUUGUCGGAGAACAAAACCCGGGACGUGUCCCGGACUGCGUGUAUCCGAAGAAAAAGCAUCGGCUAACUCCGUGCCAGCAGCCGCGGUAAUACGGAGGAUGCGAGCGUUAUCCGGAUUUAUGGGGUUUAAAGGGGGCGUAGGCGGUCCGUUAAGUCAGCGGUAAAAUUGCGGGGCUCAACCCCGGCGAGGCGUUGAAACUGGCAGACUUGAGUGGGCGAGAAGUACGCGGAAUGCGCGGUGUAGCGGUGAAAUGCAUAGAUA